GCCUCCAGCCCAUCAGGCUGUCCCUGCCCUGUCACCUCCUGUUCCCCUGUGUCACAUCACGGGCUCGCUGUGACAGGAGAGGCUCAGCUCCCGCAGCCAGGGAAGCCUGGAUGUGCUUCGGGGGGAAAGGGAGAGGACGGGGGUUAGGAGUGGAGUUAAACCCAGCACCUUGGAUCAGCAGCACCUUGAUCACCCUCCCCAGAGGGGUUUCCUUCCAGCCCUGGGCACUGCUUGCCACAGCUCAGCUCCAAAUCCUGUUGGAUCCUUACACCUUCCAAAAGCAUCUCUGGCUCUCGCCCUGACCAUCAGGAGCCCAAGGAACAGGUUCCCUGCACUGGUCAGUGGGGAACAGAAUCCCUCCCAGCCCUCCACCACCUCUGCAUCACCAGAGGCUUCAAGGAUGGAAUUCUUUUUUAAGGAUCCUUGUGCCCAGGCUGAAUCAGUUCCAGUGACUCCAGGACCAGCCAGGAUGGAAAACCAGCCCAGCAACGCAGAACAAGCAGAAGUUAAUAAAUAUUUCAGCUCUGUAGUUGGAAAUAAUUUGGAUGAUGCCUCCAUAUCCUACAAGGAUAAUUAAAUCCUUUGCGUUGCAGUGUC